rnacentral:hammerhead_ribozyme from 1 species
ACACUACUGAUGAGUCCCAUAAUAGGACUAAACAGCCGUCCAGUGC